GCCUUCAUGGUGUAGUGGUCAGCAUGUUUGACGCAUAUUCGAGAGGUCUGUGGUUCGAGUCUCGGCGAGGGCA
rnacentral:tRNA from 1 species